rnacentral:lncRNA from 1 species
GCUCUCCAUUUUUAUGCAAAACCUUUUACAUUUUUAUUUUAUGGGUUAUUGUUGAAGGUCGUACGAUGACGUAUGGUUGUUAACACAUAUUUCCUUUGGUUUCUUAUGGAAAUUUGUUCAUUGACAACAAACAUACACAUCAUCUACUUUAUAUAAGUAUUGUAAAAAUUACAACGUAUUUUGGUGAUCUUGCAAAAUGAUCGUCAUCCCGAAAAUCGUAAACAUAUUUUCUUAUCUUUAAGUUAAAAGGGGGCAAGAAGGGUUCCAUUAACAGGCCAAUAAAUAAGAUUACAGUUAAUUUUAAUAAAAAAUAAAAAAUAGGGGUAUUUUUUUUCUCUCAUAAUAACAGUAAACAGAUUCACAACAAUGUCAAUUUCAAGAAAGCAGACAACAGUUAAUUAGUCAAUAACAGUACAGCAUCAAUGAUCUUGAAUAUAUGCCACUUUUAACUAAAAUAUAAAGGCACAGAACCAGGACAUAGGAGCACAGAACCAGGACCGUUUUUCUUAUCACCAAC